rnacentral:rRNA from 1 species
GACGAACGCUGGCGGCGUGCUUAACACAUGCAAGUCGAACGGUAAGGCCCUUCGGGGUACACGAGUGGCGAACGGGUGAGUAACACGUGGGUGAUCUGCCCUGCACUUCGGGAAAGCCUGGGAAACUGGGUCUAAUACCGGAUAGGACUCCGGACUGCAUGGUCUGGGGUGGAAAGCUUUUGCGGUGUGGGAUGGGCCCGCGGCCUAUCAGCUUGUUGGUGGGGUGAUGGCCUACCAAGGCGACGACGGGUAGCCGGCCUGAAAGGGUGACCGGCCACACUGGGACUGAGAUACGGCCCAGACUCCUACGGGAGGCAGCAGUGGGGAAUAUUGCACAAUGGGCGCAAGCCUGAUGCAGCGACGCCGCGUGAGGGAUGACGGCCUUCGGGUUGUAAACCUCUUUCAGCAUCGACGAAGCGAAAGUGACGGUAGGUGCAGAAGAAGGACCGGCCAACUACGUGCCAGCAGCCGCAGUAA